rnacentral:rRNA from 1 species
UACGUAGGUGGCAAGCGUUGUCCGGAUUUACUGGGCGUAAAGGGUGCGCAGGCGGCCAUGUGUGUGAGGCGUGAAAGCCCGGGGCUUAACCCCGGAAUUGCACCUCAAACUAUAUGGCUAGAGCAUUGGAGAGGGUAGCAGAAUUCACGGUGUAGCAGUGAAAUGCGUAGAUAUCGUGAGGAAUACCAGAGGCGAAGGCGGCUACCUGGACAAUUGCUGACGCUCAGGCACGAAAGCGUGGGGAGCAAAAGGG